UUGAUUCUUCAAAUUUGACCAUAAAAUCUGAAAUCUUAAAACUGACUCUUUCUAGCAAGGAAAUAGAAUCAAAAGUGAUGAACAAGAAAAUAUUGACCUUGAAUUGACCAAGUCCAAACAAGAAUGUAGUGAUGAAAAGGAAAAGGUGAACAAUUUAAUCCAAGAAGUCUCUAAACUAAAACUUGAUCUUGAGAAGGUAAAC
rnacentral:lncRNA from 1 species